AUUGAACGCUGGCGGCAUGCCUUACACAUGCAAGUCGAACGGCAGCAUGGAGAGCUUGCUCUCUGAUGGCGAGUGGCGAACGGGUGAGUAAUGCAUCGGAAAGUACCGUGUAAUGGGGGAUAACGUAGCGAAAGUUACGCUAAUACCGCAUACGACCUGAGGGUGAAAGCAGGGGAUCGCAAGACCUUGCGUUAUACGAGCGGCCGAUGUCAGAUUAGCUAGUUGGUGAGGUAAAGGCUCACCAAGGCGACGAGCUGUAGCGGGUCUGAGAUGAUGAUCCGCCACACUGGGACUGAGACACGGCCCAGACUCCUACGGGAGGCAGCAGUGUGGAACUUUGGACAAUGGGUGCAACCCUGAUCCAGCCAUGCCGCGUGAGUGAAGAAGGCCUUCGGGUUGUAAAGCUCUUUCGGCCUGGAAGAAAUCGCACAGGCUAAUACUCUGUGUGGAUGACGGUACCGGCAUAAGAAGCACCGGCUAACUACGUGCCAGCCGCCGCAGUAA
rnacentral:rRNA from 1 species